rnacentral:rRNA from 1 species
AGCGAACGCUAGCGGCGGGCCUAACACAUGCAAGUCGAGCGUGUCACUUCGGUGGCAAGCGGCGAACGGGUGAGUAACACGUAGGUUAUCUGCCUUUUGGUGGGGGAUAACCCAGGGAAACCUGGGCUAAUACCGCAUAUGGUCUUCGGAUCAAAGCCUUCGGGCGGCCAGAAGAAUGAGCCUGCGGCGCAUUACCUAGUUGGUAGGGUAACGGCCUACCAAGGGGACGGAUGCGUAGCUGGCUGAGAGGAUGAUCAGCCACACUGGGACUGAGACACGGCCCGGACCUUCUACGGAAGGCAGCAGUGGGGAAUAUUGCGCAAUGGGCGAAAGCCUGACGCAGCCACGCCGCGUGGGUGAUGAAGGCCCU